GGGGAAAAAAAAGAUUCCGCGGUAACCUUUUUUUAAUUUUUUUUUCUUUUUCCGUUUUCUUUUAACGGCAAAAGAUCGACAAUGGUCGCAGCAGCACCGGCGGCGGCGGCGGCGCUGUGAGUGAACGGAGCCCUGAGAGGCGGAACCAGCACGAGCUCGCCGAGGUUACUGCAGCUUUUCCCUGUGAACAUUGGACACCGAUAAGCUCGGCACAUGAUCAUCGAGAAGAAUCAUCAGUAAAGUCUCGAAGCUGGGGUUUAGGGUUUUUCAAUUGCAACCAUUUCUCUCUUCUUUGGCAGGGGCCCCGUUGACUUCGAGCUGAAAUGGGCCGUUCUCGCACGGCGUUCCGUACCGGUGACGACGACCCCAAUCAAAGUAGAGCUAAGAAGAAAAAGGUUGCUUCAGGUCCAGAAAAUGCCGAGGCCGAGUUUACAGCUGCUGGUCGAGGAAUAAAUGAAGGAACCGCAGGAUUAUACCACUGCAACUACUGCAACAAGGAUAUCUCCGGAAAGGUUCGCAUAAAAUGCGCAGCAUGUCCAGAUUUUGACCUAUGCAUAGAGUGUUUCUCUGUCGGAGCUGAGAUUACACCACACAAGAGCAACCAUCCCUACCGGGUCAUGGACAACUUAUCUUUCCCACUAAUAUGUCCAGACUGGAAUGUAGAUGAGGAAAUGCUACUUUUAGAGGCCAUUGAAAUGUAUGGUUUUGGUAACUGGGCGGAAGUUGCUGACUAUGUUGGAUCUAAAAGCAAAUCGCAAUGCAUUGACCAUUAUAAUGCCGUUUACAUGAAUUCCCCGCACUUUCCUCUCCCUGACUUGACUCAUGUUAUGGGCAAAAAUAAAGAGGAGCUCAUUGCUAUGGCCAAAGAACUUGCUGAAGUAAAGGAAGAUAGCUCAUCCUCGGGGGAACUUCCGCCUAAAGAAGAGCCUGUUUUUUCAACGAGAGCGAAAUCCGUUGAAUCCGAGAAGGAAGUUCCAGUUCAGCAGCUUUCUUCUAGUUCAACUGCUGGUGCAGGAAAAAGGACAUCCCAUAUGCUGCUGAUCAAGGAUGAAAUCAAAGAGGAAGGUACACUCAAUGAACCUCAAGUAGGCAGGAUUGGAGAGAAAAAACCUAGGCUUACAGGGGAUGAAGGACCUUCUAUGUCAGAUUUGGGUGGUUACAAUUUCAAGAGGCAGGAAUUCGAAAUUGAAUAUGACAAUGAUGCAGAACAGUUACUGGCUGAUAUGGAAUUCAGGGACACUGACACAGAUGCUGAGCGUGAACUGAAGCUUCAAGUGCUGCGUAUUUAUUCACGAAAGCUUGAUGAGAGGAAACGUAGGAAAGAUUUUAUCCUGGAGAGAAAUUUACUCUACCCUGAUCAUUUCGAGAAGAAUCUGCCACCCGAAGAGCGAGGAAUAUAUAAGCGGUUGAAGGUCUUUACGCGUUACCACUGCAAAGAAGAUCACGAAGAACUGCUGAAGAGUGUUAUUCAAGAACAUCAAAUUCUCAGAAGGAUACAGCAACUCCAGCUCUACUUUAUAUUGUCGUGCAGGAAGCUCGAGCUGCAGGUUGCAGAACAGCUGCCGAGGCAAAUAAGUUUAUCGAUGACAAAAGAGAAAGGGAAGCUGAAGAAAGCUCACAGAGAGCGAAGGAGAGUGCCCAGGCUGGUCCAAGCAGUAAAGUCCUUCCAAGGCUAAAUUAUUCAAAAAGUGAAGUUGAUGGGAUCCCUAUGGAACUUCUUGAUUGGGACAUCAGUGAUUUUCCGGGAGCCGAAUUACUCUCUGAAACUGAAAAGCGCCUUUGCAGAGAGAUCAGACUAUUGCCAGCACAUUAUCUCAAAAUGCUGCAUGUACUGUCAAUGGAGAUUAAGGAAGGAAAGCUGACCAAGAAAUCCGAUGCAUACAGCCUGUUCAAAGUGGACCCAACCAAGACUGAUCGGGUCUACGAUAUGCUUGUAUCAAAAAGGAAUUGCUCAAGCUAGAGUAACAUUGUACACGCUUUUGAGUAGCAGUCAUAUGUGUUCGCCAAAAAUAUAUAGAUCAGAUAAAACUGUAAAGCUCAAGCCCGAUUUUGCUGAGCAUUGAAAACACGCUCAUUCGUCAGAAUGACAAAAUAUUCGGUUUCAGAUAACAAGAUGUUGAAUCUUUCCGGUA